ACUACAUGUAGCAUAUGUGGAUAUGCAGAGGAAGAGGAGUUCCACAUUGUGAUAGAAUGCACCAAAAGCAAGGCUUUGAGAUUUGCAAUGAGAGAGGUUUGGGACCUCCCGGAUGAGGCGACAUUCAGAAACACUGGCAGAGAUUGGCUACAGAUCAUCCUGGACACAUGCAAUGCAGACAUGCGGGAUAAAAUCCUUUUACUGAUAUGGAGAGCAUGGUUCCUACGGGACAACUGCGUGCAUGGGGAUGGGAAAGAAUCCAUCUUGAGAUCUGCAUCCUUCCUGACAAGAUAUGAAGAGGAAAUCCGAAACUGUCUUGUCGCCAUAGAUAGCGAGAGGGGGAAAGAGCCAGUGGGAAGCAAGAAGAUGCGUAAUGUGAGGCGGGAAAAUGAUGCAGGCAACCAUUGGUAUGCUCCUCUAGCGGGAUUUGCAAAACUGACACAGCAUACAACCCUGACUCGGGACUGA
rnacentral:rRNA from 1 species